UCUUUNGCAGGGAAGAAGCGUGAGUGACGGUACCUGCAGAAAAAGCGCCGGCUAACUACGUGCCAGCAGCCGCGGUAAUACGUAGGGCGCAAGCGUUAUCCGGAAUUAUUGGGCGUAAAGAGCUCGUAGGCGGUUUGUCGCGUCUGCUGUGAAAUCUGGGGGCUCAACCCCCAGCCUGCAGUGGGUACGGGCAGACUAGAGUGCGGUAGGGGAGAUUGGAAUUCCUGGUGUAGCGGUGGAAUGCGCAGAUAUCAGGAGGAACACCGAUGGCGAAGGCAGAUCUCUGGGCCGUAACUGACGCUGAGGAGCGAAAGGGUGGGGAGCAAACAGGAUUAGAUACCCUGGUAGUCCAAGGGCGAAUUC
rnacentral:rRNA from 1 species